GCCCAAUAGACAACUAGCCCAUAUUCUCCUUCUCACCCUUUCGGGACUCGCCCCCUCCACUUCUGUCUGUGGCGUUUCCUUGGCUUAGGGAGGAAGGUAUUCUUCUCUGUCUCAACAAUUUUGGGGAGGACACUGUCAGGUAUAACACAUGGGGGCAAGGGAUACUAUGGUGCUUUAGGCCUUGAGACUGAGAAGACAACUGCAGAGUAUGAUCACUGUAUUUAGCAGAGUGGAAGGAAGAUCAUAUCCUUCAAUCGAAAGAUAUCCAAGUUGAUUAAAGGCUUUCAAAAUCAAGUCAAGUAUCAAUGGAUAUAAGAGGUACACACACAAUCAAGGAAAUUUUAGCAGUUUCAUCGAGUGCAUGUUUGGAAAUUCUUUCACAGUUGAUUUUGAAGCCAGAAUCAAUUGUGGGAAGAUGCUUUUGUGGGUAGCUUUUGGAGUUUAGAAUUGAUUCUGAUCAGAAAAGAGAAGCUGAUCCUCUUAUGUCAUCUCUUAUGUCACAUAACAUGAUCUUGAAUUGUGUUAAUAUCUCUCUUGAUAAACAUUUAAUAGGUGGGGAGCUAUGAAUAUUUAUAUAAUAGGCAGAGACUAAAUUUCAACAUGACACUAUCAUGUGAACUCUUAACAUGAGAGGAUUCUAAUCCUGAUUAAGAACAUUUUAGUUACAAAUGUAAGACAUGUAACUUGCCUUAUCUA